AGCUAAGUGGUAGAGCUCUUGCCUAGCAUGCAAGAGGCUGUAGGUUUGAUUCCUAGC
rnacentral:tRNA from 1 species